CCGGCCCGGCCCCUAGAAGAUGGCGGUAGGCGCGCUGGAUUUCCAGGGCUUGCUGGUCUUUCUCCUCUGGUCGCGUGCGGAGCUCUCUCGUCUUUCUGGCUAACGUCAGUGUCGUGUAUUGAGAUCUGCUAGUUCCCCUCUUGGUUAGUGUAGUCUUUGCAUAGCACAGAAUAUAAAAGCAAGGACUGAGACUCAGAUCAGUGUCGAAUCCUGCCUCCCAUCUUUCCUAAGGAAGUGUGACCUUGACCUUCGAAAUCAGAUUAAAGUGUAAAGCUUUAGCAUUGUGUUUGAUUUAGAAUAAGAGCCUUAUUAGUAACUGCUUGUAUUUCUAAUUUUGGGGAAGUAUAAAGGCAGUAUAACCUCAAUAUACUGAGAAGAAUCUGCCUGUAUCGGAGGCUAACCUCUGAGCUUGAAGUGAAGGUCCUCAGACACAGUGUGCCAUUUUCAAAACUGAAGAAGCCCAGUACUUGGCUAAUGCCAUGAGAAUCAAAAUUAUUUCAUAUUUUAAAAUAUUUAUAACCUGAUCCCACUUAAUAUCUCCACAGCAUUUUUUUUAAAAAAUCUUUGCAUUUUUAAAAACUGUUCUGUCUGGCAACUUAAGGACAUUCUUGUCAUCCUGUCAUCUCUGCAGUUUCAGUGCAAAGAUAUAAAACUAUGUAUCUUCCGAGAAAUGACUCAGUAAGUUAAGCAUAGGUUAAAGGGUAUGGAACUUAGAGAAAAUGAACGGAAUUGAAACUAUAGAAAAGGCAUGCAUCCUCCUCCUGCUUUCUUACACUUCUUUGUUCGUUGUGUUUUUCAUUUUAACAGCCUUUUAUGUUUCUCUUGAACCUGGCUACUUAAAACAAUCUUCUUAAUACCCCAGUUAUCUCUAUUUAGAAAGUUUAGAGAUUAAUUCAAUUAAAUAAAUACUUACUAAGCUUUGAGUAUUAGGGGACUACUAAUAAGAUAGGCCUAGAAAGUUAGCAUCAACCUGUAGGAGGUUCCUUAGAUUAGCCUUAGAAUUUGAAUUUCAUUCUUUGACCACAGUGAAACCAUCAAAUUUUUCCCCCACAGAACCAUAUGAUCACACUACUUUUGGAUGUGUGAUCUGGAAGCUUUCUCUGGAUUAGUUGAAAGACUGAAGGCAAGAAAAGCAGUAUGGUGAUUUGGGGAAAACCCAAGACAUAAGGAAAUGAAGGCCUACUCUAGGAUGAUGGCAGUGAAAAGAAUGGAAUUGGCUUAAGAAAUAUUCUAAAAUGAGAACUGAUGUGACUAAUAGGGCUAACAAAGAAGAAGGCGUUAAUUAAACUAUGUAUUUCCUCAUGUAUUGCAAUGAAGAGAAGAUAUUGGUGUAGUGAGCUUUUACUAUCUCUUCCAGUUUUAAAAUCCAUUGUUUUCUGUAAUUCUUUUAUCUGAAGAUGAAAGGAAGAAAUAUUCCUAAAACAGUUACAAGGAGGGUGAAUUUGAUUUUAGACCUAAAAUCUAAAACUUUGGGAAGCAAUCUUGUGUCGUCUUUUUUCUUGAAGAAGUUAUUUGCUCCAUCUGAGGCCUUAUGGGAUUAGAACACCCAACUGGCUAGGGGUGAGAAUUAGAAUGAAAGACCUCACUGUCUUGUGAGCUAACUACUUAUGAAGGCAUUGGCAUAUGUGCAUAAACAUUUCUGGUAUAUACCCAGAGAGAAAAAAGAGAAGCUCAAGAGAUGGAACAGCACUAAAGAUGUGUGGACUGACUGAGUUUUCCAAGAACAAUAUCUUGUGGAGGGAAACUGUAGGAACAAAGUGAAGAAAAAGAUGACAGACUUCAGUGAAAAGUCAUGUUUAUGUAAGCAAUUAGUGGUAAAAGCCAUAAGAAAAUCAUUUGAUUUCAUUAUCAAAUCUACUAAUCAUUCUGUGUAAUGCAGAUCUCUAUUAAUUAUAAUGUUAAUUGAGUGAGGAAAAGCUCAAAGUUAUGCAGACCAAUGAAUAAAAACUAUAAAUUUAUCUUAACUUCCACUACUUACAAAUAAGUUAUUUGUAGCCAUUCUUGAACCCGUUGCCUUCAACUCCAGCUGAUUGAGAGGAGGAAUAAAACAAGUGUUUUGACUCAAUGAUAAGUGUCCUGUAGGUAUAUGUUGAGACAAUGUGAUGUGCAUGUAGAUUCCUGAUAAAAUUUUGCUUUUUCCAAAAUGAAGUAGUUCUGAUUUUUCUCUGAUUUUUAAAGUGUAAAUAACCAUUAUAAAAUAUUCAGAUAAUACAGAAUGGAAUGAAGAAAGUGAAAUCAUACCUAUAAAUAACCUGUUAAUAUUAUAAAUGAUAUUAUAUCACUUUCUGUGCACAUGCAGCUUAUUUAAGGAAAAUGGGAUUAUAAUACAUAUGAGAUUUUAGUACCUUUUUCCUUUAAUAAUAUUAACAUUUUAACCCAUAGAUAUUUUCAGCAUUUCUAAUGAAAUGGUGAAAAUUAAGUAUUACCUAAUGAAAAAAAUUUUUAAAUAUACUUUUAGUUAUAGUUGGACACAAUAUCUUUAUUUUAUUUAUUUAUUUUUAUGUGGUGCUGAGGAUGGAAUCCAGCGCCUUGCACAUGCUAGUUGAGUGCUCUACUGCUGAGCCACAACCCCAGCCCUACCUAAUGAAAAUUUGAGGAUGAUCUUCCAUGAAAAAGUGGCAAUUAAGUGUAAUUGAAGAAUAGAAAUGUAAAAGAAUGACUUAAAAUGUGUUGUUUGAAUAUAUCUAAUAUGAUGUAAGUUUCUUUUAAAACAGCUUCUUGUGUGUUUGUGUGUGUUUAACUUUUUAUUGGACUAUUAUAUUUACACAAAUUAGUGGAACUCAUUGUUAUUUAUUUGUACAUGUACACAAUGUAACAGUAUACUUUUGGUCAAUUUCAUCCUGAAAUAUUUAGUUUCUGGAAAACUCUCCUCCUCCUUACAACAGUACCAUUUUUCUCUAGGUAUCCAUAUGUUCCCAGAGAAGUUGACAUCCUUCCACCUUAAGUGGUAAUGUAAUCUUGCCUAUCCAAUCAGUACAUGGCAUGCUUUUGAACUUAGUGAUUUAAGUCAGAGUGGGCAUUUACCCUAAUGUACUUCAACAUAAUGACUCUUAAGACUUUUGCAGAAAAUAUUGAUGUUCUUUUUUGCUGGACAAGAGGAAGAUGCUGACAGCCUUCUUGGGACCGUGAAAGAAAUCAUCCUUAAAAUGAUGCAGAUACCAAGUUUGGCACAACAGAGAGAAGGAAGUAAUAGGGAACUUGAUGACAUACUAUACAUGUGAAGUAGCCUCACAAGUUUACCUGGGGAUCUUUCAUUUGUGUGAACCAGUCAUUUUUUAUUUUUAUUAUUUAAACAAGUUUGAGUUGAAUUUUCUGUUACCUGAAAUCAAAUUCAUGGAAAAAAUUCUAAAAGAAAAUACCUACAGUGAUUAUCUCUGUAUAACAAGAGUACAUAUGAUUUUUUUCUGUGUAGAAAAGUUCUCAAAAUUUCUAUCAAAAAUGUGUAUUAAUUUUAUCAGGAAAAAGUCUGAAGUAAGUCAUAAAGGAUAUAUUUUGGUUAUAUGGAAAUGUUAAAAAAUACUUAAUAAAAAUUCUUCUAAAUCACUACCAAGUACUAAAACAGGUAGGUAAACUAAAUUCACCCAUAAAACAGAACAAUUUAAGAGCACUGAUACAGUGAAGUACAUAAACUUAUAUUAUACAAAGGCUUUGUGUUUGUUAAUCUUUGUACCCUUAGUACUUAGACUAGUGCUUUCUCUGGCAUAUGAUAGACAUUCAGAAAUGUUUUUGAAUGAUUGAAUAAAACUGAUUUCCACUAGAUAUCUAGGAAGUUGAAGUGUACUUCUAUUUAGUGGGAGCUAUUUGAUAUAAGCAAUGGAGAUACAGCUCUUUUACAAUAAGUGGAUUUCUUAUUUUUUCCUAGCUUUCACUUGUGCUUUUUGUUUAUAGCCUUAUUUAAAUAUUCUUCCAAAUUUCUGAAUUCUUUUUGUUAUUAUAAAUGCUUUAAUUUAAUAAUUUAGUUUCUCAUCUGUCAGGGUAACACCCUGAAAAUUUUCUUUUAACUUAAUAUUUGUAAUAAUAUGUGUGUUUGAAGAAAUGGCUACUAGUUUUUUCUUUCCUUUCAAUUUUAUUACUGAAAUAUUCUCACAAAAGCAAUGAAAGAAAGUGGAGCCUAACCAUCUCACAUUAUUAUUAUUAUUAUUAUUAUUAUUAUUGCACUGUGGAUUAAUCUUAGGGGCACUCAACCAUUGAGCCAUAUCCCCAACCCUAUUUUUGUAUUUUAUUUAGAGACAGGGUUUCACUGAGUUGCUUAGCACCUCACUGUUGCUGAAGCUGGCUUUGAACUUGUGAUCCUCCUGUCUCAGCCUCCCAAGCUUCUGGGAUUACAGGUGUGUGCCACUGUGCCUGGCCUUUUAUGUUUUUGAUGUUGUUGUUUUGUAGUACUGGCCAUUGAAUCCAGGAACACUACCACUGAGCUACAUCCCAGCCCUUUUAAUUUUUAUUUCAGGACAGGGUCUCACUUAAUUGUUGAUGCAGGCUUUGAAUUUGUAACCCUCCUGCCUCAGCCUCUGGAGUAGCUGGGAUUAUGGGAAUGUGCCACUGCUUCUGACUUUGAUCUUUUUAUCUACUUAGGUAAUGUUUGAAUAUGGGUAAAUAGGCAGAGGCUUUUAACUGGGCCAGCACUUAAGACAUUAAGAAGAGAAACAAAACAGAAUUAUGUGAUGAAAUUAUAAGCUAAUUCAGUUACUUAGAUAAGACAGAGAGUAGAAACUAUUCAAUAGAAGCAUGGUAAGUUUGGGGGCUCAGCCAGUCUCUUUCAAGACUUAGUUUCUUAAUACCACACUUUUUUUUAAGGUCAGAGAUAUGAAAUAGGAAAUGAAAGACAAAAAAUACACUUGUUUCUUCUAGCUUGUUCAUUAAAAAGUGGGCUCACUGACGAAUUUAAUAAGCAUUCUUUAGUGAAGUGACCUUGUAACUGCAGAGCAUUUUCUAAUGUGAAUAGUGUCUAAAAUGAAAUACUGCUGGAUGUGAUGGUGCAGGCCUGAAUCCCAGCCUCUUGGGAGGCUGAAGUAAGAGGAUUGCAAAAUCAAAACCAGUCCCAGCAACUUAAUGACGCCCUAGGCAACUUAGUAACCCUGUCUCAAAAAAGAAGGGCGAGGCGUAGUUCAGUAGUAAAGCACCUCUGGGUACAAUCCCCAGCGCCAAAAAAAGAAAAAGAAAAAAAAACAAAAUACUUAAAAUAACCAAUUUUGUACAUUAGAAAGAGGAAGUGGAGAAAACCUCAGAUUUUAACGUUGAUUUGGAAUAAGUAGGCUUUUAGCCACUUCUAGUUAGAAUAUGUGUAGAGCUGGUGAGUGAAUAGUUAGCUAAGAGGGAGAGAAAAGAAAGCUCUCACAUGCGCAGUCCAACAAUUAAGCCCAGUACCUCAGAAGCUUUCUUUUUGUAGAGUAUGUAUUUCAAGGGUUCCAGUCUUCUUCCCUCCUUGAAGGGGCAGGUCCCCAUCUGUUGAUUUCCAUAGUAUUCUAAGUGCCUAGAACAGUGCUUGUCACAUAGUAGGCACUUGUUGACUUCCUAACUCUUGGAAUACAAGCCAAAAGGUUUGUGAAGUUUUCUGUAUUUAGAGAAUCACUUAAAAAACGGAAACACCUGCUCUUUCUUGGCCUGUUUCUUUCACUUUCGGUAAAUGAUGGAAAAGAAGAAUCAGAACUCAAUUAUCUGUGUGGCAACAGAGGAACCAGAUCAGUAGUUGAAACAGAAUAAAUGUUGAGGAAUCAUCACUGGUUGUAAUACAGACUAAAUAUGAUAAAAUGUUUCUAUAAUUAAUUGUACAAAUAUUUAAAUGUCCCUAUAAGUCCAAAGGGACUUAUGUAUAUUUCCUUUACUCUCUUAUGCAUGCUUUCCCUAACCCUUUCCAAAACAUUGAAACUAGAAAGAAAAUUUACAGCUUCUGAGCUGCAAGAAAAUUACCCAGACCUUGUCACAAAGAGGCCUAGUCACUAGUUUGACAGUCAUUAUUGUUGGAGAAUAAAGUGGAUAAAAGUGAGUUUCUCAUGCAGUGUUAAUUGAGGUUUCUGUACUAUGUAGCUAGUAGUAGCCUGGUUAACUAUAUCCUCAAGUCUGGCUUAUUAUUAGUCCUAAAGGCCUAUCCCAAACCCUCCCACAUAGGUUUACAAUAUGCAUUCAUUAUGGAGAUGAUAUUUAUGGUGAUGUUAAGAUUUGGUUAAAUUCCUAGAAAACACUUUAAAAAAUUCAUUUCAUAUGUUGCCUCAAUAAACUGAUCAACAAUUUUCCUUUUUUUUUUUUUAACCCACCUAGGUCUAGUAUAAAAAGUUGAAGCCCAAGACUGGGGCUAAGUUUCACUGGUAGAGCCCUGGGUUCAAUCCUCAACAGGAAAAAAAAAAAUCACACCCAAUAUUUACCAUAGUGAAUUGAUUUGUUUGUUUUAGUGACAAAAUUAGAUCAUCCCUGAGGGCAAUAGGAACAUUUUAAGAAAUCUUUGAACUACAUACAAAGACCCCAAUAAAAUUGAGAAGACCCUCUCUGAAUCUCUUCUCAACCAUUGGAAUUUCACCUAUCCAGCUGCAAGUGUUAAAAAUUGGAGAAUUAUGUUUGUCCAAAAUCCUUUCCUUACUAUGGAAGGUGGUAAGCAGGGAACGAGUGUGACCUCUGUUACAUGGAAGUUAGCUUGUAUACGAAGGUUGGAGAGGAGAAAGCCUUCAUUUCAAAUGAUGUAGAACAUUAGUGAACAUAACUGCAAAGUAACUGAAGAAGGGAAAUUUGUCUCCCCAGCUCUUGGAAAUAAGAGCAGUGUUGCAACGGAUCCACUGAGUAUAGGUGACCAAUGGAAAACUCCUGUAAAGAGACAGCAGGGACAGGGAUUAUACGGUGAGGAAUGUUUCCCAAAACAACAGGGGGUUAGAGUUUAGACCUUUCCUCCCAACAGAACGAUAGCUGUUCUGUUCUUUUUUCUUCAGGCCUCAGUCUUAGUGUGCUUCCAGGCACUCUAUCAUUCUUAUACUUUCUCAGCAUUUUCUCAUCUUUUUAGUCGUCUCAUCUUAUUAUUACAUGCUAGUGAUUUGGUGCUACCAGGCUACUGCUUGUUCUACACAUUAUUUGUUCAGUAUGACUUGCAUGUGUGGCUACUGGACAAGAGCCUCAGAAGGCCAAAAUGGGAAGAACAUGGAAGAACAUGGGGUGAAGAGCAGUCAUAAAGAUUGAGGAUUUAAGCAAUAUUCUUAAUCACAGUCAGGAAUCCAAAGGUCUGUCACAACAGUUUUCAACUAGAAUCAUCUGGGGAAAACGUGUUUGUGUGUGUGUGUGUGUGUGUGCAUUACUGAUUGAACCCAGGGUCUCACGCUUGCUAGGCAGGUGCUAAGUGUACCACUUGGCUAAUUCUUCGGCCCUUUCUAUUUUUAACAGGGUAUACUAAGUUGCCCAGGCUAUUCUCAAACUUACAAUCCUCCUGCUCCAGCCUCUUUUGGGGAAUAUAAUGCUUAAAAAUAUAGAUGCCAGAACCCCACGCAGACUUUCUAAAUCAACAUCACUGCAGUUGGGUCCUUGGUCUGUAUUUUAUUUUUUCAUAUUCUCAGAUGUUUCUAAUAUAAAUUCUUGGUCAAGAGCUACUCAUCUAGGUAACAAACUGAAAAGUAGAAAUAAAUCUUAAAAGCAAGUAGUAUUUGUAUGAGAGGAGCACAGAAAAUUUUUCUAGAGUCUUAGUACUCUCUGGGGAGAAAUGUAUUCUCAUUAUAGGAAAAAAGUCACAUUGAAUCUGGCAUCUUCCUUGAGAAAACCAUUUCGGUAACCUUUUCCAUUUGUUUGGUUUGUCCUUUGUGGAGAAGAGCAAAACAAAGUACAACAAACCACUCUCUUUAUGUCUUGUGAAUAUAUACCACAUCUUCACUAUAGUGCCAUUUUUCAAAUCCCAGGCACAAAGUGCACAUCAAGGGAGAAUUAGUUUUCUGUCAAUACGUUAAGCAUAUUGUGAAUCAUGUAACAGAAUAUCAGUGCAGUCAUUUCACCAUCUCUUAAAACUAAAGUUUUUGAGAAAUAAUCAAAAUCCCUCCCAUUUUUCCUCAGAGAUUCUAUUUAUAAAAUAUAGCUUUUAAAUAAUCUUUUCUUUAAUAUUUGUGCAUGUGGCAUCUUAUUUAAAAAAUUCUUCCCUGCAUCAAGGAUGUGGGGAAAAAAGCACACUCAUAUACUGCUGGUGGGACUACAAAUUGGUACAGCCAAAAUGAAAGCAGUAUGGAGAAUCCUUGGAAAACUGGGAAUGGAACCUCUAUUUGACCCAGCAAUCCCACUCCUUGCUCUAUACCCAAAGGACUUAAAAACAGCAUACUAAAUGUUUAUAGCAGCAUAAUUCACAGUAGCUAAACUGUGAAACCAACCUAGAUGCCCUUCAGUAGAUGAAUGGAUAAAGAAAAUGUGGUAUAUAUACACAAUAGACUAUUACUCAGCAAUAAAAGAGAAUAAAAUCAUGGCAUUUGCAGGUAAAUGGAUGGAGUUGGAGAAUAUAAUGCUAAGGGAAGUUAGCCAAUCCCAAAAAACCAAAUGCUGAAUGUUUUCUCUGAUAUAAGGAAGCUAAUUCAUAGUGGGGUUGGGGGGAGGAGCAUGGGAGGAUUAGAUGAACUCUAGAUAGGACAAAGGGAGGGGAGGGUAAGGAAGGCGGCAUGGGGCUAGAAAAGAUGGUGGGAUGUGAUAGACAUCAUAACCCCAAGUACGUGUAUGAAGACACGAAUGAUAUGGAUAUACUUUGUAUACAACCAGAGAUAUGAGAAGUUGUGUUCUAUAUGUGUAAUAUGAAUUGUAAUGCAUUCUGCUGUCAUGUAUAACGAAUUAGAAUAAAAAAAUUCCUCC
rnacentral:lncRNA from 1 species